rnacentral:rRNA from 1 species
CUGCAGGACAAAUGUUUAACGGCCGCGGUAUCCUAACCGUGCAAAGGUAGCAUAAUCACUUGCCUAUUAAUUGUAGGCUAGAAUGAACGGAUAAACGAAAUAAAGACUGUCUCAAUCAGCAAUAUAAAAAUUAGCAUCUGUAUGAAGAGAUACAGAUAAAAUCGAAGGACAAGAAGACCCUAUAGAGCUUCAUUCUACAUACAGGUAACUACUGUAUAAGAAUUCGGUUGGGGCGACCAAGGACAUUAUUAAACACCCUUAAAAUAAAAGAUUUAUUAAUCAAGUAAAUGACCCUUAUUAAGAUCAAAAAACAAAGCUACCUUAGGGAUAACAGGCUAAUCCUAUUUAAGAGUUCAUAUCUACAAUAGGGCUUGGCACCUCGAUGUUGGCUUAGGGUAUCGAUAUAGCGCAAAAGCUAUAUAAAGAUGGUUUGUUCAACCAGUAAUUC